UGGUGAAUGGAUUGUGUAUGGGCGUGAGAGUAAAACUUUACAAGGUCGAGAGUCAUACAAAAGCCAAAGCCGCAUUAAAGCCAGUCCCAGCCAGGCUUAAGGAGAGCUGGAAUGGAGAGGAUUCUCAUCUAACAUCUGGGUUGCAGUUGUAUGUUAACAUGGACUUCCUAGGAAGUAACAUAUCAAACAAAAGGGAAAGUGAUCAACCAGCAGCAGGUACCAGCCACAGUUAACUGCACCUGCUAGGAGCUCUGAAAGACUUUUUUUUUUUUUAAACGAAUAAAGAAAUUCUCAUUUCACUCUCCUCCACACUGGACUCGCUGAAGAAAGAGUAGCUGGCUGGAGGAAGCUAUCCAGAGGGAAGCAGCACAGCAUCUAUGCACAGACAUAGCAAAUAAGAGCAAGUGAACCACGCCACACUUACGACUAUGUCAACAAAGGAAUAGAAGCAAAGGAAAAGACUGACAUAGCUUAGACUGGGAAUCCUUCUAGAAAGUAAGAAAGAAUUCAGAGAGAUUCCUCUCUCUAGUCUUGAAGAAAUGAAGGUCUUCAAAAUGAAGAUUGAAGAAAUAUAGAAUAUCUAAAAAAAAAGAAAGGCUACUCUCUGAUGAAGUUGGUGGUGCUGUGGAAGAGGACCGCCGCCUCCUGGACGAGGACCGGGACCGCUCAGCAUGGAGAGCUGAUAGAAAAAGCCUGCUUAAGCUGCAGCUGCCAGAAUAAAAGAAUCGAGCCCUGUGUGCUUCCCCUAUGACUUCACUCCCUAACUUCCAACACUAAGCUAAAAUGAAAGGUCUGACUGACAGGAAAGGACCCAGAUAAGAUCCGACUCUGUGCAUGGAGAGAAUCCUCAAACCAACAGAAAAAUGAUUGACACAGAAGCCAAGUGCCAGCACUGCGUAUAAGUAACACUA
rnacentral:lncRNA from 1 species